rnacentral:lncRNA from 1 species
CGUUAAGAAGACCGUUAAGGCUGGAGCUUAUCGGUCCAGGUGGACCGGCACACGUGGCCCCGGGGCCGUUAUGAUACCGGGGUUCGGUACCCAUCCCUAGUCAUGUAGGAUCUGAGUUGGAGCCGAGUCCGAUACAACUCAAGAGGAGAGACACGAGAAAUGUCCAAAUGUUUUCCCUGAUCAUUAUUUGGAAGUGACACAUUCAUCUUAGAGCUCAAAGUCCUUUCAUCGUUUUAAAUAUGGGCGUCACGUGACUCCGAGUGAAGACGCUGGGCUUUGACAGUUUUUGUUUCACGUGGAUCUGUCCAGUCGUUACAGAAACAUUAACCAUGAACCGAGUCCAAAAUGCAGCUUCAACAAUAGGAUUCUUCGCUGCACCAAGUCAAUCUUUAGGUCGAUUGUUGCGCCUUUCUUAAUCCUGAUCCAGGCCUGGCGGUAAAAGUUUGUGAACCAUCGGCAUCAAUAAACCGAUCUUGGCAUCUCCCCUGUGCCCCACCUGCUCUGACCCGGGUCUAACGCAGUAACUGUGUGUCGUGUACUGUACUUAAGCCUUUAUAAGAAACACGUCAUGUAACUUAUUCUUAUCGUAUGUUUGUAUAGAAGCACAUUUUAGAACCUGAAGUACAUAAGAAACAAACACUAAUGACUGCAGUAACUUCUGUCACUUUAGUUCUUAGAUCUUUAACCAAACACUCCUGAUUAUUCUUAUCGUCGUUUACGCAAAUGGAGCUUCGACAAUCACCUCGUCUGUCAGAUGCCUCCCAUUCCUCUAGAGGAUGUUUUCUUCUUCUUCUUUAUCUUCAGACUUGCACAAUACAGUGGCAAGAAAAUGUAAAUACACUGUGUGGAAUUUCUCACAUUUCUGCCUAAAUUGGUCAUAAAAUGUGGUCUGAUCUUCAUAAGAAUGAGUAAACAGUGUCUGCUUAAACUAAUAUUUAGAUUUGAUCAUAUUUGUAUUGCCCAUAACAUGUAAACAUUCACAGGACAGGGAGGAGUAAGUAAGUACACCGUCUGAAUCUCACUGAACUGCAGCAGUUUUGUAAGAGGAAUGGUCCAAGAUUCAUCCUGAUCGUUUGAGCGUCUGAUCUGCAACUACAGGAAAGCAGUUAUUGCUGUAAAAGACGAGUCAGCAGAUAUUUAAUACAAGGGUUCACUUACUUAUUCUGUGAAUGUUGUGAAUGUCUCAGGUCUUUUGCAAAAUAUCUUGAUAAACUUGUGAAUUAAUUUUUCUAUUGAUGAAAUCACGUUGUCCAGGCCCUGAGGCAACAAAACAGCCCCACACCCUGAUGCUCCUGCUCCAGACU